rnacentral:misc_RNA from 1 species
AUUUUUUUUUUCAUCCUUAAAUUGUUGGUAUAAGAUUGAGGAUGUUAACUCUGUAGUUGUUAAUAUUGAUAUAAGAUAUGGGUAGGUGGGCGGUGCAUUUGUAGAGCUGUGUUGUGAAAUUGGAUUCAAUGGGUCAUCAUUUAAAUGGGUACAAGCUUGUUUUCAAAUGUGAUAAUAUCAAGUAAUGUAGUAUAGAAAUAUGUCAGAAAUCUAGUUCAUAAGCUGUCUUGAUAGUUGAGACUUGAGAAUGAAACUUUGUAAUAGCAAGCAUCUCAUAACUCAGUUCUCUUCUCUUGGCUAUUAGAAGCUCAGGCAACCUUUGGAUAAGAUGAUUAACCCUCAUCAUUUUUUUAUAAUGGAAUACAUUUCUAGAGGGAACAAAGUGUGAACUUGAACUUUUUUGUGACUAUAUGCUUAUGUUCAGAAUUCAGGGAAUAGAAAACUGGCACUUCGAUGACUGGCAAUUUCUAAUGAACAAAUUGUGAAUCAAAGGAGGUCAGUUAAUUUAGGGCCUAGUUAAUUUUCCUUUGGUUUGGCUGUAAUAUCAUUAAUUUAAUUUCUUGUUUUUGAACUCACUGUUAUGCUUGCCCAUGGAAAAACGAUGGGUGGACUUUCAACUCUUUUGGGUUGUUGAUGAACUAAUGUCAACAGGCUUCAUAUUUCUUUAUAUUUUAAUAUCAACCAAAAUAAUCUUUGUAAAUUAUGCUAUUCUGUUUUCAUCAAGCAAGUUCCUUUUUUUCCUUGUAGAUUAUUGGUUCCCUUUUUUUUGCCUGAUGAUACAUCAUUGAUUCAUUAUUUCCUUGUUUGGCAUGCUAUCAAAUAUCCUUGCUUGUUUGGCUUUAACUUUUUUUUUGGUGCUACAUUUGCUGUCAG